UCUUGGCCUGUAUUCAACUGCAUUGUUGUGAGCAGUUGGGCGCUGCAUCUCCAGAUUGGGACAGUCCUAGCUUGCAAGCAACAAUGUUGUGCAUUUGCAGGUCGAGUGCGCCGAGACUUUCGAGAAGGCGAUAUGAGCUCAAUUUUGAGGCCAGCUUGCUGGUACCCGGAUUGGAGGAAUGUUGUUCGUUUUGGAUGUGAAUGGGGGAAAGGUUUUCCGGGCUCGUAUGGGUUCGAAUUGGUGUGGGGUGGCAGUUGCAUGCAACAUGUGCCUUCUGCCAAUUCGGUCCUGUGCGAGCUCACAAUCCCACUCUCGGCGUAAAAGUUGGUCAUCUAUCCGACCCGUCUUGAAACACGGACCAAGGAGUUUAUCGUGUGCGCAAGUCAUUGGGUGUUGAAAACUCAAAGGCGCAAUGAAAGUAAAGAAUCCGCAAGGAUACGACGUGUGAUCUGAGCAAUCACGAUUGCCUGGAGCAACAUGGCCCCAUUCUGGUCGCUUGCGACGGGGUGGAGGAAGAGCGUACGCGGUGAGACCCGAAAGAUGGUGAACUAUUCCUGAGCAGGAUGAAAGCCAGAGGA
rnacentral:rRNA from 1 species